UCCACGGCAGCCCCCACCCCAGCCCCCUCACUUCUCUCUGCAGGUUACACCACCCCCAACCUGGACCCCAUCCAAUAGGCUCGUGGUCCCUGAUGGUCCUGGACCACUGAUUUGAGGCCUUUCUGCUUCCUUUGAUUCAGUCUUUGGCAGAGACCCAGGAGCAGGAGUCCUUGAUGGCACCUGGCCCUUUCUAGUCACCGACAAGGGAAACCUGAGAAACCAUUCUCAGAAAUGGAACUAAAUUGACACAGCAUUUGUCUCCUCCAGAGGAUACAGCACCAAGGCGCCAUCUUGGAAGUAGACUGGAGCUCUUAGCAGACCAGAACCUGUGGGAAGCCUUUCUGAUGAGCCCAAGCAGCCAUCACUAAAAGAUCCGUGUGAAAUGGAGGCUAAUCUUCUGCAGGCAGGGAUAUGAAAGGAGAGGGUCUUCUA
rnacentral:lncRNA from 1 species